rnacentral:lncRNA from 1 species
UGAGUCAAGUGAAUCUUUGUAUAUAGUAACCAUCAUCUCCCUUAAAUCCCACUCUAGAGAAAGUCUGCAAAGAUGAAUCAUUAACAGAAAUUGUGGAAAACAUGCGUAUUUGCCAGCAGUCAAAAGAACUCCACAACAGGAUGGCUGUGUAACCAGGUACUGUGUCCCAGGUUUUUUCUCCAUUACUCUCCCUUCACUGCCACUGCUGGGUCACUGAGGGUCACAAAUGAGAUGGCAAACCAUUUGAUCUGCUCACUAAGUCACAAACCUGACUGCCACAACUGGAAGAGGUAAUACUGUAAUAUUUUUUAUAAUAUUUUCUUCAGGGAAAGAUGAUUUUUUUUUCAUUUCUUU